GAGUUUGAUCGUGGCUCAGGAUGAACGCUGGCGGCGUGCCUAAUACAUGCAAGUCGAGCGAACGGACGAGAAGCUUGCUUCUCUGAUGUUAGCGGCGGACGGGCGAGUAACACGUGGAUAACCUACCUAUAAGACUGGGAUAACUUCGGGAAACCGGAGCUAUUACCGGAUAAUAUUUUGAACCGCAUGGUUCAAAAGUGAAAGACGGUCUUGCUGUCACUUAUAGAUGGAUCCGCGCUGCAUUAGCUAGUUGGUAAGGUAACGGCUUACCAAGGCAACGAUGCAUAGCCGACCUGAGAGGGUGAUCGGCCACACUGGAACUGAGACACGGUCCAGACUCCUACGGGAGGCAGCAGUAGGGAAUCUUCCGCAAUGGGCGAAAGCCUGGCGGAGCAACGCCGCGUGAGUGAUGAAGGUCUUCGGAUCGUAAAACUCUGUUAUUAGGGAAGAACAUAUGUGUAAGUAACUGUGCACAUCUUGACGGUACCUAAUCAGAAAGCCACGGCUAACUACGUCG
rnacentral:rRNA from 1 species